rnacentral:rRNA from 1 species
AUGAAAUUCAAUUCCACAAAAGAGGCUUGGAAAUUUUGGACAUGUUAUGGAGGUCAUAUUGGUUUUGAUGUAAGGAUAAAUUAUGAAAAUAAGAGCAAACUCGAUGGAGUAAUCACCUCAGCAAGAUAUGUUUGUUCCAAUGAGGGCUACAGAAGAAAAGACAAAAGGGGUAAUAAUACAAAGCGUCCUCGUGCAGAAACAAGGACCGGCUGCAAUGUUCGAAUGGGAAUUACUAUAGACCGAGAAGCACGAAAUUAUGAGGUGCAUGAGUUAGUUGUUGAACACAACCAUGUCUUGCAAUUACCUGGGACAAGCCACUUGAUGCCAUCACAGAGGAAGAUUUCAGCCUUGCAAGCAUUUGAAAUUGAAACAGCAGAUGAUUCAGGAAUUGUACCUAGAAAAUCCCAUGAGUUAGCAAGUCGACAAGUUGGUGGUCCACUGAACCUUGGCUACACAUGUCGUGAUCGCAAGAACCACUUGCGAACCAGGCGACAAAGGGACUUGAUGUAUGGUGAAGCUGGAAGUAUGCUCAAGUAUUUUAGAGAUAAAAAGAAUGAGAAUCCUGCAUUUGAAUAUGACAUGCAACUAGAUUGCGAUGAAAAUAUAGCAAAUAUCUUUUGGGCUGAUGCAAGGAUGAUAAUUGACUAUGCUCAUUUCGGUGAUGUUGUUAACUUCGAUACAACAUUUGGGACAAACAAAGAGUACAUACCCUUUGGUGUGUUUGUUGGUUUCAACCAUUUCAGAGAAAUGGUCAUUUUUGGUGCUGCACUUUUAUAUGAUGAGACAUUUGAAUCAUUCAAAUGGUUGUUCAACACGUUCCUAUCAGUGCAUAACAAAAAGCAACCAAGAACAAUCUUUACUGAUCAAGAUGUAGCAAUGGGUAAUGCAAUUCAGGCAGUAUUUACCGAAGCAUGGCAUGGAUCGUGCACUUUUCACAUAAUGCAAAAUGCCAUCAGGCACUUACCUCAUAAGAAAAAAGACGAGGAUGGACCAAAUGUACUUGCUGAUUUCAGUGCUUGCAUGUACAAGUAUGAGGAAGAGGAAGCCUUUGAAGACGCUUUCAAUGCCAUAAGAAGCAAUGUGGAAACACAAACUUGGGUUGUGCAAGGAAAAAGAGAUAACGAGGUAAAUGAGGAAUAUGAGUCUAGGAAAAAAUUACCUAGAGUCAGAAUGAGGACUUCUAUGGUAAUACAAGCAAGCAAAGUUUACACGCCACACAUAUUUGAAGAUUUUCAGAAUGAAUAUGAAAGAUCCAUCUCAGCAUACAUCAAGCCAUCGGUACAACACAAUGUUUAUACUGUUGUGAUUGCAAGUCUUGACCCAGAAUUUUCAUAUGAAGAAGAGUGCAAAGUUCUUGUAGACUAUGAAGAGCAAAAGGUUCUAUGCAAUUGUGGGCAAUUUGAAAGAGUUGGUAUAUUGUGUAGUCAUGCUCUGAAAGCCCUUGACGUCAUGAAUAUUAAAUAUCUUCCAGGCCACUAUAUUUUGAAGCGAUGGACUUGA